ACACCCAAAUGGAGAACAACCAGCAGGCCCAGUCCUCAUACCCUCCGCAACCCCCAACUGCAGCUGCACCAGCAGGACCACCAGCUCCACCACCACAACCUGCUGCAGCCGCUCCCUUUCACCACCUUCUGCAGCAGCAGCAACAGCAGCUGCAGAUGUUCUGGUCCUACCAGCGUCAGGAGAUCGAGCAGGUUAACGACUUCAAGAACCACCAGCUUCCCUUGG
rnacentral:lncRNA from 1 species